GGGGAUUUAGCUCAGUGGUAGAGUGUUUGCCUAUCAAGCGCAAGGCCCUGGGUUCGGUCCCCAGCUCCA
rnacentral:tRNA from 1 species